rnacentral:rRNA from 1 species
ACAUGCAAGUCGAGCGGUAGAGAGAAGCUUGCUUCUUCUUGAGAGCGGCGGACGGGUGAGUAAAGCCUAGGAAUCUGCCUGGUAGUGGGGGGAUAACNUCGGAAACGGACGCUAAUACCGCAUACGUCCUACGGGAGAAAGCAGGGGACCUUCGGGCCUUGCGCUAUCAGAUGAGCUAGGUCGGAUUAGCUAGUUGGUGAGGUAAUGGCUCACCAAGGCGACGAUCCGUAACUGGUCUGAGAGGAUGGUCAGUCACACUGGAACUGAGACACGGUCCAGACUCCUACGGGAGGCAGCAGUGGGGAAUAUUGGACAAUGGGCGAAAGCCUGAUCCAGCCAUGCCGCGUGUGUGAAGAAGGUCUUCGGAUUGUAAAGCACUUUAAGUUGGGAGGAAGGGCAUUAACCUAAUACGUUAGUGUUUUGACGUUACCGACAGAAUAAGCACCGGCUAACUCUGUGCCAGCAGCCGCGGUAAUACAGAGGGUGCAAGCGUUAAUCGGAAUUACUGGGCGUAAAGCGCGCGUAGGUGGUUUGUUAAGUUGGAUGUGAAAUCCCCGGGCUCAACCUGGGAACUGCAUUCAAAACUGACUGACUAGAGUAUGGUAGAGGGUGGUGGAAUUUCCUGUGUAGCGGUGAAAUGCGUAGAUAUAGGAAGGAACACCAGUGGCGAAGGCGACCACCUGGACUAAUACUGACACUGAGGUGCGAAAGCGUGGGGAGCAAACAGGAUUAGAUACCCUGGUAGUCCACGCCGUAAACGAUGUCAACUAGCCGUUGGGAGCCUUGAGCUCUUAGUGGCGCAGCUAACG